GUAUUUGGCAAACUAUUUUUAAAUUAUAAUUUUCAAAAAUUGUUUUGUGUUUUUAACUUUUAAAAACUAAAAAAGUAAAAGAGCUGAAACAUGUUUUUAAUUUUUUAAUUUUGGUUUUUUAAAUUAUAAUUCAAAUAUUAAAACACAAAUGGAAUUGAAAACAAUCUAUUUUAUCCUAUUCUUCUCUCUCUUAGACAAAACCCACACAAUCUUCUCUCUCACACACAAAAGAAAAUGCAACAACGAAAAAGUGGAUCUUCGAUUUUUCACUCAGCACUGAUUCAUAGUUUAUGAUCUUCAAUUUCUUCUUUACAAUUUGUGAUUCGGAUUUUUUAGAGAAGCGACUAAAAAGUGGAAAAAUGGCAAAAAGGAAGAGCAAGAGAAAAAGGGUUGAAGAAGGGAAAAGCUUGAAGUUAAAGGAUUUGCCGGAUUAACUCAGGUAACGAGCAGUGAUUGAGUAGAAGCUAGUGCUUGGAGUCUAGUGUAGUUCCUUAGUGGGUCAUGCUCUGGUAUAUGUAACAUCGGGACGGGAUGUUUUACUUUGUUUUCAUUUUUGGUUGUUGAACAAUUUUACAUGAAAUGUGUUACAUGGUUUGCAUGUUGUUAGAUUUCUAUCCGCUGCGAAUUGUGCAAUGUUUUAUUUUGAUUAAUAAAU